CGUGAGUGAUGAAGGCUUUCGGGUCGUAAAGCUCUGUCAAGUGGGAAGAACCUGCAGUAUGCUAAUACCAUAUUGCACUGACGGUACCACUGAAGGAAGCACCGGCUAACUCCGUGCCAGCAGCCGCGGUAAUACGGGGGGUGCAAGCGUUAUUCGGAAUCAUUGGGCGUAAAGGGCACGUAGGCGGCCUGGUAAGUCAGAUGUGAAAGCCCGGGGCUUAACCCCGGAAGUGCAUUUGAUACUGUCAGGCUUGAGUAUGGGAGAGGGAAGUGGAAUUCCUGGUGUAGAGGUGAAAUUCGUAGAUAUCAGGAGGAACACCGGUGGCGAAGGCGACUUCCUGGACCAAUACUGACGCUGAGGUGCGAAGGCGUGGGUAGCAAACAGGAUUAGAUACCCUGGUAGUCCACGCAGUAAACGUUGUUCACUAGGUGUAGCGGGUAUUGACCCCUGCUGUGCCGCAGUUAACGCAUUAA
rnacentral:rRNA from 1 species